rnacentral:rRNA from 1 species
AUGAAAAGUGACGGAAAAGCACGACCAGAUGACUAUGAAUUUGGCAAAAUACAGAUAGCAGUAGAACAUCGCAAACAACAGCAACACCAGAACACGACCAAACUGCUACCACCUCCACCCAAACGCCGGCGCGAACCACGUGUCAGCACCAGUCGAAGCAGGGAACCAAACAAAAGCAUCAGCACAGGAGCAGAAGAAAGAUUCCAAAGGAUAAACAAAUUGUUGGAAAAAGUACUCCAUGAAGCAGAACAGAUACCCGCAGUAACCACCAGGGCUGAACACCAAUGCAACGAAAAGGAAAAGAUAUUGGAUGAAAAAAACAAGAACCUAGUCGUGCAACAAACAAUUGCCCUGAUGGAUUCAUUAGAACAACUCAGACAAUUUCAGGACAUAGUUUGCACAAGGUACCUGACAGACAACGCGACCCUGCAGACACUAGAGCAAGCAGAUCCAGCAGCCUCAAGUAGACUAGCCGAUGCCAACCGCACAAAUGAAAUCGUAGCCACAACAGAACCAAGAGAAAGGAGAAAAAAAGAACAAGAAGACACAGAGAGGAAGAGAAGAACAAAAUCAAUACCCAGUCAAAAAAAACAGCAGGAUGGUGUCAACAACCCCAAAAACACAAAUGAACGGAACAAACAAAGCAACCUCACAACAGACAAUCCUACAACAACAACUACCCCAACACAAGCACAAGAUACGGUCAACGUCAGAACCUGUGAAGAGACUCAGCUGAAGAACAAUCAAGUCAGCAGCCCCGCCAACCAAAUGCAAGACGCUAACCCACAAUCAACCGUUAGCAUAAUAAACGACAAAGAAGAAGAAAACAACGAGGGGGAGGUAUCACAAGCACUGCAAGACCAAGAGACAACCCAUGUUGAAAUUGAACCCCAUAGUGAACCUCAAACAGACGAAGGCGUCAUAGAACAGGAACUUUGUGUACAAGAGAUUUCCAGUGCCACAACAUUGCAGAUCACCAUCACUAGUACAAAGGAGAAAGCGCAAGACAUCCCAGCCGAUGAGAAACAAGAGACUGUUAUACCUGACAAAGAAACAGUAGAUGCAGGCACAAAUAACCCAAUCAUCAACACGGAGGAAACAAACGAGUACGCUGAUCUCGAAGAUCAAGAACUUCAAACAACAACAUCUGAAGAGGUGAGGUUACAAAGCUCAGACACAAAUGAAGUUCAAUCUAUAAUUUCAAUUUUUAUUAAACAGGAAGAGGAAGCAUGCAAAAGCACUGGCAUAGACAUUCAACAAGAAAAACUAGAGGACAACAUGAGACAAGGAGAAGUCGUAGUACAAGCAGUAGACAGUCCUGCAACUCUAGAGAUAGAGGCACAUGAAGCUCAAGAAACCAUCAACAAUCAAGACCAUCAAACACAACCAGAGGAGCCCAACGAACAACCCGAACAUGUUCUUCAAACGAUAGACAAUAAUGCCACUGAAGACCAAGCCACAAAAAAUUCACUCACCAAACAACAGGUACCAGAGACAGGGGCAGCGUCAACGACUGAAAAGAGAGAGGAGACCAAUGAGCAGAAGGAGGACACUGAAGAAGGGCAACAUGUUCUUCAAAAGGCAGUCAUCAACGUAACAGAAGACCAAGCCCCAAAAUAUUCACUCACCGAAAAACAGGCAGCAGAGAGGGCAGCAGCAACAACGACUGAAAAGCUACAAGACAAAAAUGACGGCAGCGGCGAUGAACUACAAAAGAAAGAAGAAGAAGAUGCCCAAAAACCUCCACUCUACGAAGAACAAGCACAGCAUUCAGCAGCAACGAUUGAGGAGAAACACGAAGAAGGCGACCAUGGAGAUACAAAGGUCAGUGCCAACCAGGUCGAGACUGAAAAACAAGACGGAAAAGACCACCAGCAAGACACGACGGUUGACAAGGAAAAACAUGAUCCUAAGAAAGACACAAACGACUCAAAUGAGGAUGCAGCAAAAACUGAACAAAAGGACACAAUGGAGAAAGGGGACAAAGAUAGUGAUCCGGUCAACAAAGCCAUCGAAGACCUGUACAAUGUUGUAUGCAAGCCAUGGACACAGAGAAAAAUGGAUGAGCUUUUCAUUACAACGAACAAGUUUGAUGUCAAUCUAGGCCAUGUCGCCGAAAGCUUCAAGGUCGGUAAAUCAGUACGCACCGAAGCAAUCGAGCCCAUGCUAACAAUCUUGAGAAAACAACUAAAUGGCACAGGGAGAAAGAUUCUGUCGUUAAGCAACACUUCCCUUCUACCAUGUUGGUUGUGCGGGUUUGAGCAAGACGAAAAUACAAGUCAUUACUUCACCAUUACAGUUAACAUGCAAAAAUAG